AGCUAGGAAGGACUUGAUUAUUCAGAAAAGGAAACUGACAGAGAGGCUGGGGUCUUUCCAAGCUCACACAGUUAGAGCAGAGGGGACCUCGGGGAUGUUCUGAGCCUCAGGCUCCACCAGACUUCCUCCAGCCUGGCUCAGAGGUAGGAAUCUGUUCUUCUGGACAGUGCAGGGGGGCCCCUCCCCACCAGUCACUGCCACCCAGGUCCUUCAGGACAUGUGAUCACAGCAUCACCUGCUCUGCCAUCAUUGCCUUGGCAGGUGCUCCACUGUUGUGCAACCAGGCCCGGGGCUGGGCUGGCCCCAUCAAAUCAACAGCUGGUUGGCUUGGGCCGGCUGAGUCUGCCCCCCUGGAGCUCAGCUGUGACAGCAAUGAAUCACACUAAUGGAGAGAGGUGGCCAUUCCUUCUCUGUGGCCUGGAGACAGGUUUUCCCAAAACUCCUCCCCUGGCUCAGGCAAACACACCUGACCUUUCUCUCGCUGGGCCCAGGGUGAGGCAGAGCAGCCAGGAGCAAGGUGGGGUGAACCAGACAGAGCUGGAGUGCUCUCCCACCCCUGCUUUGCCCAGCUACCCCGCCAAGCCCAUGAAUCCAGGCAGGGUAAGGCCCUCCUCCCAGAGGAAGGGGCCAACAGUCCAGUGACCUUGGAGUGCGCUUCGCCUGGCACUCCCCUCACACCGCUCCCUACAGCUUGCACUCUGCCUCUGACUCUCUUCCAAGAACAAUUGGACAAGUUCUAAUCUACAUCUUGCAAAAACAAAAAAACAAAAAACCCAGAGAGGUAGGAGGGCCACAGCACCUGGGGUCCCAGAAGGCAGACUGACACCUAUUCCUACUGUAGGGCUACAAACCAGUGCCACAUGCCUGGAGGUUGAGUGGACACACCUGGUCCUCCUCACGGAGAUGUAUAGCACUCUGAGCUCUGAUCCAGUUGAUCUGUGUGAAGUCCGCAGACAAACACAUAACCAUUCAACUCCCACAGGAGGCUUCUUGGAGCACGGUCCAGCUAGUUCGUCUUUAAGGGACAGCCAUGCUCCAGGUGCAGUCUUGGGAGCCAUCUGAUCACUGUCCCUUCAUCCAAGCAUCUGCUUUCUGAAGGAGGCGAGGCCACGUGCUGUCAAGCGCUGUGGACAGACAGCCUGGGGUCAAGUCCUAGCUUCUCCACCCCCAACUGGACCAGCCACUAUUGUACCUCUGACUGAUCUCAGAACACAGCUGGAUUACCAGAAGGAAAACUAAGUGAGUGCUUAGAGGCUGGCAAAGUAAGGAGAACCAUUUGUAGGUGAUGUGCUAAAGAUGCUGACCAUCAUUCCUUACUCUUAAUUAUUAUGAGAAAAAUGAGAACCCCCUCCUUGGACUUCCUUAUUCCUAUGCUGAAGUGUAAUGUUCUGUUUUUAACAAUGUAUGGGGGCAGCACACACAGUGCUUUGCCUGCCUGGGAACUCUAAGGGUCUCAGUCUGGCCUUGCUCUGAAAUUGCUGCAAGGCCUGCCAAUUCCCUGAUGUAUCACAAGUGUUCCUGAACAAUAAGCUCAUUUACCAGGUCUAGCUGUGACCAGAUAUUUUUUAAUCACCAUGAUCACUGGGUUGACAGGUUGAGCUUGAGCUCCACCAUAAGCCUGAGUCUUUCCAAAGGCCUGGGGGACUGAAGGCAGAAGCAAGAGCACACGUAGAGAAGGCACCGAACAAGCUGAUCUGUGCAGUUCUUCGGUUCUAAACACCUUGCAGAAUCCAGGCGGACUCAGGGCCUGUGUGGCCACUGGGCAGGGAAGGUGGUGGUUCCUAGGCCCAUCAAAACCCCAAGGAGCACUGAAUUCUGUCUCCUGCUAUAGCUUCAGGUGCCAGGUUCACUGGGGUCUUAGAAGGUGGGGCUGGAAGGAGGUGGGCCCGGAGGGUUCCACUCCUUAAGUGCUGGCUUCAAGAUGGAAGACAUUAAGACAUUCCAGGGGUUGAUUCUUUUCUUGAGACCCUAAGAUGUUCCAGGCUUCUGUAGAGCAGGCACAGUCCUUGCCCUCCAGGACUUGUAUCAAUAAAGACACAAAACACUAGAGGCAGAAGCUGCAUACGGGCAACCUCCAUGCAGAAUCUGCCCGCAUCUGUGUUUGUUCAGCCAACAGUGCUUUUUAGAAAGUUGAGUCAGAAUGUCUUUGGAAGGACACUGUAGGUGACAGCAGGCACCAUGCCCUAUCGUCUCCCCAGCAUAUUCACAUAUUGGCAUUACCUGCCUGGUCUCUACAGUCUGAAUGCCAAGUAUGAAGUGUGAAUAUAAAGGCAGCAAACAAGUGUGAUUGGGGCACAAGAAAGGGAUUCAGCUGGGUGUGGUGGCUCACGCCUGUAAUCCCAACACUUUGGGAGGCCGAGGCAGGUGGAUCACUUGAGGCUAAGAG